GCCCAGAUCACACCAGCAGCAUUCCCACAAGCCUCUGCAACAGAGAUGGACGUAGAGGCGCUAGUGGACCGGACAUUAAGACGUCUUUACCUCUCACAUUCACCAGCAGAAAGGCCAUGUAUUUUCCCUCCCAUCAACCCUGCUACUCAAAGCAAAGAGAGGGGAGACCCAGCCAAGCUCCCCCUCCGGGAGCUCCCUAUCCAGGAGCUGACCCUCCAGGAGCUAACCCUCCAGGAGCU